rnacentral:lncRNA from 1 species
CUCGAAUCGGUUGACUUGCGGCUUGACAGAAUGAGGUGGGCCUUUGUUUUUCCAUUUUUUUAAAAAAAUAUAUCAUUUGCAAUUUGAAAAUACUGUGAGUUAAACCAGCCCAAAACAUAUAACUUGUUUCACCCUCAAAUAACCUUAUUCAACUCGGAUUCUUCCUUCAUAUUGCAAAACCUAUCGACUCGUCUACUCCAACGAUGAUAGAGACACUGUCUUCUACAACGAAAUGCACGUUGUUGAAAUAUUCGACCAUUCCUUUUUUUCGGCAAGAAGUCUGGCCGCUUUUCGUUGAAUCAUAGAUGCCACAACCCAUCUUCUUCGACCAGAUCUGCAAAAACUCAGGUAUAUAUACAUAUAUGUGAAAGGCAAAGUAGAACCCAUCAAAAAAUAUUACAGCUUCGAAGGUGGAAUUGUAAGAGGUUUGGACGAAAUUUGUGUUGGCCAUGGCUAUGGGUUUUUAAAUUUUGAGCGUGCAAUGUUUAUGUAGUUUUGUGUUGUUCUUUCUGGGUCUUGGUUUUUAAAUCCAUGCUUUGAGAAAGACCCAUACCCAUUUCAUGAUUUGCUCACGAUAUGUUGCAAAAUCUUGUUCUUUCAAUAAUACUUUGGCGUUGGUUCGAUUAUGGCUGGGCGUGAAAAAUUACUCGAUAAUAAAUAAUUUUUAAAUUGAAUUGUAAUAUAUGGGAGAAAAAAUAAAAUGAGUGGUCUAAAAAAAAAAAAACCAGUUGAAACAUGGUUGGAGAGAAUUCGUUAGGAAAUUGUUUUGUAUGCUGCUAGUAUGAAUUGUUUUUAAGGUUAUUUGUUUUAUAUGUUGCUUAUAUGUCAACCAAUGUUAACUGCAAGAAUUAGAUGCAAACUCUGAAUAUUGUGUUCAAACUAGGUUAAAAGUAAAGUAUGGUGGUAUAAAUCAAUG